GUUCAGUGACCUGGAAGUGAUGUAGCUUCCAAUACUUUUUUUCCCACACCUCAGUCAACAACAUGAAUUUUGAGCCCCAAACAGGUUAUUUCUGCUGUCUGUGGUGUCUACUGAGGAUCUAAAGAAUCUGGAACACCAGAGACUUUGCAGCUACUGGAGCUAACCUGUGUACAGCUAACUCGCUACAGAGGAAGCAGCAGAACGCUGAGCUAACAGGCUGUUUUGCAGGUAAUCCUCGGGUGUCAGCAGGAGGAGGUGACCACCUGCAUAACAGAGCACCCUGGUUCUGAGCCAGUUGCACCUUUGUGCUGCUCUUUGGGGAGGUGAUGCUCAGCAGGUGGUGUUGGUGUGAUCUGGGAGGGCACACUCAUGUCGUCAUCUCCUUGUGCCGUCUCCAAGAUCCUGAUGGGAGUUCUCUGCGCCUAUAAAGCAGGGGUAUUUACUUCUGGGCCUGGAGGGCCGGCAUCCAGCACGUUUUAGUUUUAACUCUGUUUCAACACACCUGAUUUCAGUCAGCAGGUAAUUAACAGGCUUCUGCAGAGCUGCUGCACAGGUAAUUCAACCCCUGAUUCAAGUGUGCUCGAGCAGGGAAACAACCAAAACGUGCUGGAUACCAGCUAUAUGGAUGCUGCUAUAAAGCCUUCCUCCCUCCUCUGGACUUUAAACAUUAGUAUUUUAUUUUGGUUUACCUGAUUUAGUAAAUAAAUCUCAAUUUAUAAAUUUCCUGUUUUGGUGCCUGUCCAUAAAAUCCUGCGUUAGACACUGAAAGCUGAAUGGAUGCCUUUCACUCACUUUGACAUUCAAUGUAUUUUCAAAGAUACACUUGAAAUUAAUAUCAGCUGUUUAACAGAGUGGUGCAAUUGCUAAUGUCAUGAUUUUUGCAACAACCUGACCUUCAUGCAGAGAAACUCAGGAGACAAAUGAGCUAAAAACAGUUUAUUAAACUGUUUGACGGAUGCCUGAAGAGGUAACAGCUGGAGAUCAGGAACCUUCUGCGAGGAAGAGCAGAGGUUAGUAAGAGGCAACAGGCUAACGUCUGGUUAAAACCAACUUGUGGCAGGGGUGAUGAGUGAGCACCACCUCACCCCUGCCACGUGGACCACAAGGGACAAACCAUCAAUCCUGCUCCAUGGCCAACUUUCCUCACGGGGUCGCCCAUGAAGACAGUGGGAGGGUUAGAAGAAACACAGACAUUUCAAAAUCCUCAUUUAAACCUAGUGGUUGAAGUGUUUUCAACGUGUAGGUCCAGAACAGUUCCCUUUGGCAAAGUUUUUUUUUAUCUAUAUCACCUCCUCUAUGUAAGAAAUAUGUUCAAUCCCCUGGAAUCUGAGUGAAGGCAUAUAGGUUGUGAAGAGUCAUUGAAAUGGCAUGCUACUGGAUAAGUCAAGUCUUUUCUUCCAAUUGAACUCUUAUGUUCACUGAUCCUCUGUUUGAGUGGCCUUGUUGUUUUACCAACAUAGACUCUAUCACAGGGGCCUUUUAACAAAUACAUUACAUUAUGUGAGUUACAAGUGUUGUGAAUAUUGGUCAAUGAAUAAUUUGUAAGCUUUUACUUACUUUUUGGAUUCUUCAAUAAAAUUCAUAAAUAUGGAAAUAUUUACCGAUUUUAUUACGUAAUUAGGAUAUCCGGAGAUACCCUCGGGGCACCACCCUUUUUAACAAUGGAUCCAAAACCUCUUAUCAGUCUGUCUUAAAGUUAGUAAAAUUCGUUUACGAGCAGCAGUCAUGAAUUCAUAUCACACAAACCAAUUCACUUGAGACAAAUGCUUAGUUGGCAAUAACAUUUAUUAACUAAUAUACCCACUUCAGCUCCUUGCAAAGUGUUAGCUAAUUAAUAUCAACCAACUUAUUUUAUCAAACAAGUAACAAGUAAUUAUUAAAUAAUAAUGAUAAUGUGAAAUAAUGAUCUGAUAGGUGGGGUAACAAGAUGGAGGUAGUUGAAAACCCAAAAUGGCUGACUCCCUUUGUCUGGCUCCUGGGAUCAAACCACUU